CUAGGGCAGCGUAGCGAAGCGCGGCUGUCGAACAUUUUCGGAAAGCCUCUUCCAUAUUGGUCUCAGAAGCGGACGGAGCAACUGGAUUUUCAAUCCAUCGCAAUCGAGGUUUUCUAGAGUAAUCUAGACUCCUCUCCACCGCAAAUAUGAGAGCGAAGUGGCGUAAGAAGCGAAUGCGCAGGCUAAAGCGUAAGAGGAGGAAGAUGCGUGCGAGGUCCAAGUAGACUGACCAUCUUCAAUUCUCUGCGGGAAUAACUCGUUCCAGUGUCUGAUCGACCUCCGGCGAGUCAACGACCAUCCUGAAGAAUAUUUCCAUUUUUUGUACAUCGAGGAUUGAAAAAAGUCGUUUAUUACAUCCAGCGCGACGCAGUUAUUCCUGCAGAGAACGUUUUCAAAAGAACUAUCUUGAUUUGUUUUAAUAAAUGACUCUUCAUGAUAGGAA